AGAGCAGCUGGAGGAGGAAGCUCAGAAAGUAGUGGGCUGGCCUGAAAUCCUAACAAUCCCUCUCUAUUAAUCAGAUACAAAUGCAAAGACGUUCAAAGAGACACUGAUUUUAUCAGUACAGGACCACAAGGCUGGGUUGCCAGCAUUCUCUACAAGAUGAAGCUGGAACAACUACAGAAGCUGUCCUGGGCAUCAGAGGGCUCCACUGGUCUUUUACCAGUACAAUCAGGAUGAAGCCUUCUCAAACAAAGUCUAAUAUGAUCCAGAAUAGUGCACUCAUCUAAGAAAGACACAGACAAUUUUUUCCACCACUAAAGCUCAAAUUAAGACCCAGAACAGAUUAAAUGUAAUCUGCUGUCAAUGCUGAUUCCUUUACUCUGAGAUGUUUAACCUGUGCCCAGGAGACCACCCCACUAUUUUUAAGGCAUGUUUCUACCCUGCCACUACAGAAAUAUCAUUUUUAUAUCAUACAGACAUCAUUAUUUGAUCAUUUCUUCAGGCAUUGAUUUACAUGUUUCAGAUAUAGCUAAUCAUUCCCUUUCCUGUCCCGGAUUUAAUGGUCAGUCCUCUUCCUGACUGGCUGCUUCCCAACUUCUAUUUAUCUCCUCUAGUACAUGAUUGACUUCUUCCCGACUCUCCUCCUUAUAAAUUGUGACAAGUUCCUAUACAUAGUGACUGCUGUCUUUUGUUUCCUGUACUUAGCUGCUUAUUUGAAACCUCUUUAAUUAUUCUGUGUUUGGACCCUAUUGCCUGUCUUUGAUUGUAUGUUUUGCCUAUGGGAUUUGACCCUUUUCUAGUGAUGGGCAGAUGAAGCCUUGUGAAGCGUUUGGGACUUCUUCCUGAUUGUGCUGCUAAAAGUCGAAGCAUUAAAGCCAAUACCAAAAUAGUGACACCUGGUGGCUGUACAAAAUUAUAGUAGCAAUAGGUUCAAACGUGUGCAGCACUGCAAACUAUACCACACUACACCGUUUUCAUUAUAUCGUUAAAAAAAAUUGAUGAUCAGUAAUGAUGUUUAGGCAUUACAGUUCUGCAAUAAUUAGUUUUAUAUAAUUGCUUCACUUUUGAUGUGAAAAUGUAAUACAGAAAAUGUAAAUGUU